UACGUAGGUGGCAAGCGUUACUCGGAAUCACUAGGCGUAAAGCGCAGGUAGGAGGUUUGGUAAGUCUGUUGUGAAAGCUCCCGGCUCAACUGGGAGAGGUCAACGGAAACUACCAGGCUAGAGUGUGGUAGAGGUAGCUGGAAUUCCCGGUGUAGCGGUGAAAUGCGUAGAUAUCGGGAGGAAUACCUAUGGCGAAAGCAGGCUACUGGACCAUCACUGACUCUGAUCUGCGAAAGCUAGGGGAGCAAACAGG
rnacentral:rRNA from 1 species